AUAAGAAAAUAGAUAUCACCAAAGACAUUUUAGUGUUAAUAACCAUGUUAGCGAGAGACAGUUUUAACUGUUUGGAGGUUGGAAAUUUUUAGACUGCAAUUUACUUUUAUAUAAUUAGGCAAUAACCUUGAGUAGUUGCUAAAAUAUCACCAAAGAAAGACUUUAAACUUAAUUUUCAUGGUAAGAUCAAUCAAAUGCAGGUUUUUCUUGCAAUAAUCAGAACAUACUUCCUUUCAGCCAUGUUUCUUAUUUUUCCAGCACCAUCUGGAAUUUCUUAGGAAAUUCUCAAAGGUGAAAAAGAGAUUAACACAACCAGUAGCCUCCCUCUGGAUGAAAAAUGGGAGAAAUACAUAGUUUGGAGAGAAAAUUGAAAUUGAGAUUUUAAAUUCUAAUUUGAGAAGAUUUUUAUCCCUUGGAGGUGAUAUGGACUAAAAUUAUGCUUAUUUAGUUCCUGGGUUCUUAGUAAUAUGAGAAAUUUUAUUAAAGACAGACUUUGGUAAAAGUGCGGACAUGCUUCCUUGUGUAGAAAACAGUACAUUCUCUUGGACUCACAUAAGUAAAUGCUUUUUCUGUAUCCGAAAACAAAAAUUUUCCUAAAGGCCUGUGGGUUGUUUUUUUUUU
rnacentral:lncRNA from 1 species